GACGAACGCUGGCGGCGUGCCUAAUACAUGCAAGUCGAACGCACAGUUUAUACCGUAGCUUGCUACACCAUAGACUGUGAGUUGCGAACGGGUGAGUAACGCGUAGGUAACCUGCCUGGUAGCGGGGGAUAACUAUUGGAAACGAUAGCUAAUACCGCAUAAUAUUGAUUAUUGCAUGAUAAUUGAUUGAAAGAUGCUAUUGCAUCACUACCAGAUGGACCUGCGUUGUAUUAGCUAGUAGGUGAGGUAACGGCUCACCUAGGCGACGAUACAUAGCCGACCUGGGAGGUUGAUCGGCCACACUGGGACUGGGACACGGCCCAGACUCCUACGGGAGGCAGCAGUAGGGAAUCUUCGGCAAUGGACGAAAGUCUGACCGAGCAACGCCGCGUGAGUGAAGAAGGUUUCGGAUCGUAAAGCUCUGUUGUAAGAGAAGAACGGGUGUGAGAGUGGAAAGUUCACACUGUGACGGUAUCUUACCAGAAAGAGACGGCUAACUACGUG
rnacentral:rRNA from 1 species